rnacentral:lncRNA from 10 species
GCAGCUUCCAGAACACAAGUCGUUAAGGAGCACAAAAAUGUAUUUCAAAUGCACAACUGUAAUGCCUUCUGCAUUGAGACAUGUCUACAAUAAACAUGGUCCAACUGGAUUACCAACUGCACCAUAGACACAGUACCUGAAUUAAAUAGCAGAAGAUAAGAGACUUGAAUAUUUGUAGCCUUUGAACAUAUUCUUCUGAGAUAGGACAUUCUUUGUUCCCUAAACUUGUAUGGGACAUUAGAGUUUCCUACCCAGUAUGUCCCAGUGCUCAAACUAUUUUUUAUUAUCUUCAGAGUUUUUCUUUCUGUCUUAAUUAAAAGAGUAGUUUUUACAGAGCUACAGAAUAAAUAAAACUCUGACGUAUUUUC